rnacentral:rRNA from 1 species
CUGCGGAAGGAUCAUUACAUUCAGUAGCCUAGCUACUUGUUUACACCCUUGUUUUUUUGCGCACUUUAUUGUAUCCUCGGCGGGCUUGCUCGCCGGUUGGACAACACUUAUAACCUUUUUAAUCUUCAAUCAGCGUCUGAAUUAUACAUAAUAAUUACAACUUUCAACAACGGAUCUCUUGGUUCUGGCAUCGAUGAAGAACGCAGCGAAAUGCGAUAAGUAGUGUGAAUUGCAGAAUUCAGUGAAUCAUCGAAUCUUUGAACGCACAUUGCGCCCCUUGGUAUUCCAUGGGGCAUGCCUGUUCGAGCGUCAUUUGUACCCUCAAGCUUUGCUUGGUGUUGGGCGUCUUGUCUAUCCCUUUUGCGGGCAGACUCGCCUUAAAGUAAUUGGCAGCCAGUGUUUUUGGCAGUAAGCGCAGCACAUUUUGCGUCUUAGUCCUUCAACAGUGGCAUCCAUAAAGCCUCUUCUCACUUUUGACCUCGGAUCAGGUAGGGAUACCCGCUGAACUUAAGCAUAUCAAU